CUCCUGACUUCAUGAUCCGCCCACCUUGGACUCCCAAAUUUAUAGGAUUACAGGCAUGAGCCACCGCACCUGGCCAUCAUAGGUCUUUUAUUGCAUCAUUUAUAUAUCACAAAUAAGUCUUAGGAAUCAUCCAGCAUCUUGUUUCUGUGGCUAGAUAAAUCUUAGAUCUUAUUCAUCAUCCUCCUGAACUGUUCCUUUUUCAGAGACAUAGAUACCAUCCAAAAGUUUUCUGAUAUCCUUGUUUUUAACUGUUGUGGCUUGCUGAAUCAAAGCAGCUGAAUUUGAAAUAAGCUCAGUGUUGUUUCCUUCAAAGAUUAAUUCAUCCUUCUGGGCUUGAGAUACCAAACAAGCAACAUUGGGCCUUAUCCAAACCCUGAGGAUUUAUUUUUCAUCCAAGAAAUUUCGGAUGCCAAUAAGAGACCCAUUCUCCUUGAUAAUGACAUUGAUGGGGAAUUGAGCAUGCGCAGACCUCGCCUUGUAACAGAAGCCCAGUGUAACACCCUUGAUCAUGUUCGCGCAUGACUACAAAGUGCAGACAGUGGCCAGGUCUUUUCUGUUUCCCCCUUUGACAACUGGAGCCUCUUCCUUUUCUUUCCAAAAAGAAUGGGUUCUACAUUGAUACAUAGAAGUCCCUUCACAGGGUUCCUCUGGGGCCCUUCACAAUAACUGUGUGUCCCUUCAGGAUAAUGUUGACAUUUUCUGAAGUCGACAGUCUGAUUGCUGAGAAUGGUCUUCCUUCUUGCCGUAGAUGCGGCCAAGAACAGAAGUAAAAAUUUUAGAAUUGAAAUAGCUCAUAGGCUUAUUACCUUCAGGAAAUUAAUAGAAUGGGGAUGAUGAAGAGACUCUAUUGUCAGUUUGGUUGGAUGUGGAAGCCUAUACACAGACAGUUGUGGUGAGCAGCCUGAGAGUGGGAGGCACACUGAGCAUAGGAAAGGAUUGAAUAUAUCGAGAAGAAAGGGAACUGAGAAAGCAGAUCUGACCCUGAGAGGGAGCACUGGCACUGACAACCCAAGGCUCGUGUGUGACUUUCUUUGCUGAUUUGGGAAAAGUCACUAAUAAUGUUUGAAAUUAGGACUCCAUAGGCAGUACCGAGCAGCAGGCAGGUGUUAGCCAAGGAAUUCAGGAGCAUUAGGUUUUAGUCUUAGUAAUUAGUCUUAUGACCUCACCAAUGCCCUGGAAGUAAAUGGUCUAAUGUUCCUUCGUACAGUUUACGAGGCUUGAGGUCAAACAAACCUUUAUAAUAAUUGUUAAAACUGUCAAUGUUAUAAGAUGGUAACAGCUAUUAUUUGUUUAUGCUUUAUUUAUAGAACCUUAAUGAUUCUUUGGUUUUACAAAAAGAAAAUAAUCAAAAUGUCACUUUUUAGGCAAAAAACCUCAGAUAUCUGGAAUAUGCUGACGUUGUAUUAUCAUUUCAGAACAUGAAAAAUAUGUUCCGUAUAAAAUAUUUAAUGAAACAAAAAGUAUGGCUAGUUGAACAAUUUCAAAAAGUAACACUCAGAUUGUGUUAGACCAAGAUGUCAAAAAGAAGCAACUAUUUCCAAGUCUAGAGUCUGGAAUCCUAUUAUCAUAAUAUUGGUUUAUUGAAUGAGGAAACUUAAAUAAAUGAUAAGGAACUCAUAACAUGCUUGAUAGAACAACGAAAUUCAAAAGUCAAAGAGAACUUAAGAUGUAAGCUGAGUAUAUUCAUGCAGAUGUGGUGUGAAAUCACACUGAAUGCUCUCAGGUUUUAUCAGUGGUCCUCAGGUUGGGUAUCCCUGAAGUGGCAAUAGAGCUAAUGAAGGUAUGCAGUGUUAUACUAGAAUUCCAUUAAUGCAGUAUCAAUGGCAUGUUGACCAAAACUCUGAUUUGCUGAACACACACACACACACACACACACACACACACACACGCGCGCGCGCGCGCGCGCGCGAAAUCAAACUAACAGUUUGAAGAUAAUACAGAAGUUCUGUGUUAAGUUCUAUGAUGAGCUAUGGAGUCUCUGGAAUACUUGAUUUCCUCUGUUCCUUCUACUCUAUACUAUGUUUCUUUUAUUAAAUUUAUAAUGAAACAAAAACUAUGGCUAAACAAUUUCAGUAAAUAACACUUAUUUAACGUUAUAAUGGAUAAAGUAUGUACAUUAAAGCCAGACAGUUAAAGAAGCUCAUAUUAUAGCUCCAUCAUUUUGUUGCUUUUAAUCUUAAAUGAUUAUUCAUCUUUACUUCUUUGUGUCUGAACUUCUUCCCUUGCAAAAAAAAUAGGACUGUCACCUAUUUUGUUAGGUUCCCAUGGGAUGUAAAUGAGAUAACAUAGGACAGUGCUUGGUACAUAGUGGACACACACUAAAUACUGAUAUCAUUUCUCUUUCCCAUUUUGUCUGUGGUACUAUUAAUCACUGAAGUUUAGUGAAAGUGAAAUUAUCUAUUUAUAUUUCCUCUUCACCUUCCAUUUGGUGCCAAGGACACAUUUGGAUCAUGUAGGAGUUUAAGCAAGGUUUACAAUUGAUGUUCUUCUUCAUGUUCUGUUCAUUUUUAUUACUCUCGUUGAAAUUGCUUAUUUGUAAUCUGGCCAGAUUU